UGGAUCACCUCCUAACAGGGAGACAAACAACGAUUUUGAUGUCUGAGUAUUUUAUUCUUAGGCCGAAAUCCUGUCACCUUAGGUCGAUCGGUACCUCAGCUUUGAAGUGAUUAAUUCAGCAGCGAUGUUGAAGAGAGUCAUGGAGAUUCUUAGUUCCUAAACUUUGUCUAGGUCACACCCCAUAAGGGAUGAGACUCCUGGGCCAUUAGCUCAGGUGGUUAGAGCGCACCCCUGAUAAGGGUGAGGUCCCUGGUUCAAGUCCAGGAUGGCCCAUUCGGUGUUGGGGGUUUAGCUCAGUUGGUAGAGCGCCUGCUUUGCAAGCAGGAUGUCAGGAGUUCGAGUCUCCUAACCUCCACUGACCGACUCAAUCCCCAUCUCCAAGGUUGGAGUAUGAGCUCGGAUGGAGUGUGAUUUAGAUGUGUCCGCUGGAUGACCCCAGCUUCCUGUCAUUCCAAAGCAAGGAAAGAGUUUCUUGAUUUGGUUGAUAAGAUGCUGGGCUCGAGUUUGGCUGGUGAGAGAUCAUCAGCCAAGUUUGAUGUCUAGCAGAACCUUGACAACUGCAUAGGUGAAGUCUGGAAAGAAUAAAGCAUCUCAUGGAUGCAUCAUUCUUAAUUGGAUGAUGUUUGAUUCUUGAGCAAGAGCCGAGACUCCAUGGCGUUCUUUUUAGCGUGUCGAGCACUAAAGAGUUUGAUUCCUUAAUUCAGCAAUGAAUGGGGAAGAAUCCGUUUCAACGACGGUAAGCGUGAUGGAGAUUAAUUGGUCAAGCUACAAAGGGCUCACGGCGGAUACCUUGGCACACAGAGGCGAUGAAGG
rnacentral:tRNA from 1 species